GCUCAAAUUUGAAAUCUUAAAGGGUUUCCCUUUACGAAUUGUAGUUUAAAGAAGUGUUUUCUGUUGAGGUUUUGGUAAAAGUUCUUUGGAAUAGGACAUCAUAGAGGGUGAGAAUCCCGUAUUUGACCUUUACUUUCAACUUUGUGAUACACUUUCAAAGAGUCGGAUUGUUUGGGAAUGCAGUCCAAAAUGGGUGGUAAAUUUCAUAUAAAGCUAAAUAUUGGCGAGAGACCGAUAGCGAACAAGUACCGUGAGGGAAAGAUGAAAAGAACUUUGAAAAGAGAGUUAAACAGUACGUGAAAUUGUCAAAAGGGAGGCGUUUGACACCAGUGUUGUUUUUCUGAAAAUCAAUUAAAGAACUGUUUAUGCUAAGCUGUUUAGACUUUAUCAGCUAUCUGUUUAGUUUUGAGCUUUUCUUUAAUGCACUUUUCAGUUAACAAG
rnacentral:rRNA from 1 species